AACGAACGCUGGCGGCAGGCUUAACACGUGCAAGUCGAGCGCCCCGCAAGGGGAGCGGCAGACGGGUGAGUAACACGUGGGAAUCUACCCAUCCCUACGGAACAACUCCGGGAAACUGGAGCUAAUACCGUAUACGCCCUUUGGGGGAAAGAUUUAUCGGGGAUGGAUGAGCCCGCGUUAGAUUAGCUAGUUGGUGGGGUAAAGGCCUACCAAGGCGACGAUCCAUAGCUGGUCUGAGAGGAUGAUCAGCCACAUUGGGACUGAGACACGGCCCAAACUCCUACGGGAGGCAGCAGUGGGGAAUAUUGGACAAUGGGCGCAAGCCUGAUCCAGCCAUGCCGCGUGAAUGAUGAAGGCCUUAGGGUUGUAAAGUUCUUUCACCGAUGAAGAUAAUGACGGUAGUCGGAGAAGAAGCCCCGGCUAACUUCGUGCCAGCCGCCGCGGUAA
rnacentral:rRNA from 1 species